UAAGAAAGUUACGCACAAAGGGUUAUUUAU
rnacentral:piRNA from 1 species